CUCCUGAGGUGACGAGCGGCGGACGGGUGAGUAAUGCCUAGGGAUCUGCCCAGUCGAGGGGGAUAACAGUUGGAAACGACUGCUAAUACCGCAUACGCCCUACGGGGGAAAGGAGGGGACCUUCGGGCCUUCCGCGAUUGGAUGAACCUAGGUGGGAUUAGCUAGUUGGUGAGGUAAUGGCUCACCAAGGCGACGAUCCCUAGCUGUUCUGAGAGGAUGAUCAGCCACACUGGGACUGAGACACGGCCCAGACUCCUACGGGAGGCAGCAGUGGGGAAUAUUGCACAAUGGGGGAAACCCUGAUGCAGCCAUGCCGCGUGUGUGAAGAAGGCCUUCGGGUUGUAAAGCACUUUCAGUAGGGAGGAAAGGGUGUUGUUUAAUACGCAACAUCUGUGACGUUACCUACAGAAGAAGGACCGGCUAACUCCGUGCCAGCAGCCGCGGUAAUACGGAGGGUCCGAGCGUUAAUCGGAAUUACUGGGCGUAAAGCGUGCGCAGGCGGUUUGUUAAGCCAGAUGUGAAAUCCCCGGGCUCAACCUGGGAAUUGCAUUUGGAACUGGCGAACUAGAGUCUUGUAGAGGGGGGUAGAAUUCCAGGUG
rnacentral:rRNA from 1 species